GGAGAUAUUUUUAGUGCAACUUGUUGUCAGUUUCGAGUAAGGAAGAGCUAUUAGAGCUGUCGGGAUGGAAAUCUUUUUUUUUUGUGCCUAGAUGAAUUUUAUUUUUUCCUUUCUUUGGAAAUAUUCUCUUUAGUUUCUUCUAGGUUUAAAUGUUUUGAACAUACUUCUUCUUGGAUUUCUUAAAUGCAUGGUGAUAUUCUUGAUAAUGCAUUGUGUUAUGCGAAGUACUUUAUAUUGACUCAAUAUAUCUAGUUUUCUAUAGUUUUGUAUGUAUAGUAAUUAUGUUUUUUUUUCUAUUGCAAGAUUUUAUAAAAAAAUGUCAAAUUGAGACAUUCUUAGUACAACUUGCUUUGACCUAGUUGCAACUAGAAUUACAACAUGUUAAGACAUUUUAGUGUUAUAUAUUGUUAGCAAUUUUUUACAUGUAUUCUUAUUUCAUAAACUGAACAAAAUUAGGUUGGUUUACUUUUUAAAGAAAACUAAUGU
rnacentral:lncRNA from 1 species